rnacentral:rRNA from 1 species
GGAGAAAAGCAGGGGAUCGCAAGACCUUGCGCUCUUGGAGCGGCCGAUGUCUGAUUAGCUAGUUGGUGAGGUAAUGGCUUACCAAGGCGACGAUCAGUAGCUGGUCUGGGAGGACGACCAGCCACACUGGGACUGAGACACGGCCCAGACUCCUACGGGAGGCAGCAGUGGGGAAUUUUGGACAAUGGGGGAAACCCUGAUCCAGCCAUGCCGCGUGAGUGAAGAAGGCCUUCGUGUUGUAAAGCUCUUUCAGCCGGAACGAAACGGUCACGGCUAAUACCUGUGAUCACUGACGGUACCGGAAGAAGAAGCACCGGCUAACUACGUGCCAGCAGCCGCGGUAAUACGUAGGGUGCAAGCGUUAAUCGGAAUUACUGGGCGUAAAGCGUGCGCAGGCGGUUUUGUAAGUCAGAUGUGAAAGCCCCGGGCUUAACCUGGGAACUGCGUUUGAAACUACAAAGCUAG